UACGUAGGGUGCGAGCGUUGUCCGGAAUUAUUGGGCGUAAAGAGCUUGUAGGCGGUUUGUCGCGUCUGCUGUGAAAAUCCGGGGCUCAACCCCGGACUUGCAGUGGGUACGGGCAGACUAGAGUGUGGUAGGGGAGACUGGAAUUCCUGGUGUAGCGGUGAAAUGCGCAGAUAUCAGGAGGAACACCGAUGGCGAAGGCAGGUCUCUGGGCCACUACUGACGCUCAUGCACGAAAGCGUGGGGAGCAAACAGG
rnacentral:rRNA from 1 species